CACAUGCAAGUCGAACGAAGUAGCAAUACUUAGUGGCAGACGGGUGAGUAACAUGUAGGUAUCUGCCCUUUGGCCUGGAAUAACACGAGGAAACUUGUGCUAAUACCGGAUAAGUCUUUACGGAGAAAGCUUUAUGCACCAUUGGAUGAGCCUGCACUUGAUUAGUUUGUUGGUGGGGUAAUGGCCUACCAAGACUGUGAUCAAUAGCUGAUUUGAGAGGAUGAUCAGCCACAUUGGGACUGAGACACGGCCCAAACUCCUACGGGAGGCAGCAGUGGGGAAUCUUGCACAAUGGAGGAAACUCUGAUGCAGCGAUGCCGCGUGAGUGAAGAAGGCCUUUGGGUUGUAAAGCUCUUUCGUCGGGGAAGAAAAUGACUGUACCCGAAUAAGAAGGUCCGGCUAACUUCGUGCCAGCAGCCGCGGUAAUACGAAGGGACCUAGCGUAGUUCGGAAUUACUGGGCUUAAAGAGUUCGUAGGUGGUUGAAAAAGUUAGUGGUGAAAUCCCAGAGCUUAACUCUGGAACUGCCAUUAAAACUUUUCAGCUAGAGUAUGAUAGAGGAAAGCAGAAUUUCUAGUGUAGAGGUGAAAUUCGUAGAUAUUAGAAAGAAUACCAAUUGCGAAGGCAGCUUUCUGGAUCAUUACUGACACUGAGGAACGAAAGCAUGGGUAGCGAAGAGGAUUAGAUACCCUCGUAGUCCAUGCCGUAAACGAUGUGUGUUAGACGUUGGAAAUUUAUUUUCAGUGUCGCAGGGAAACCGAUAAACACACCGCCUGGGGAGUACGACCGCAAGGUUAAAACUCAAAUGAAUUGACGGGGACCCGCACAAGUAGUGGAGCAUGUGGUUUAAUUCGAAGAUACGCGCAGAACCUUACCAACACUUGACAUGUUCGUCGCGACUCUAAGAGAUUAGAGUUUUCGGUUCGGCCGGACGAAACACAGGUGCUGCAUGGCUGUCGUCAGCUCGUGUCGUGAGAUGUUGGGUUAAGUCCCGCAACGAGCGCAACCCUCACUUUUAGUUGCCAUCAUUAAGUUGGGCACUCUGAAAGAACUGCCAGUGAUAAG
rnacentral:rRNA from 1 species